ACUGUUUAAGACUAGCCAUGCACGUCUAAGUACAAACUAAAUGAUGGUGAAACUAGCAAAUAGGCUCAUUACAACGGUUAUGAUGUACCCGGGAGUUCCGAUGGAUAUUUCCAGUAACACUAGAACUAAUACAUGUCCCUGCGUUUAUUAGUUUCGCACAGUCCGUCGCUGAGUCAUGGUAAACAGUUGAUCGACUCGACGUCCCGGAACAGUUUCCGCCCCAUCAGCUUCGAUGGUUGGGUAUUGGCCUACCAUUGCAACAACGGGUAACGAGGAAUUAGGGUUUGAUUUCGGAGAGGGAGCCUGAGAAACGGCUACCACAUCUACGGAUGGCAGCAGGCGCGCAAAUUACCCAAUGCAGACACUGUGAGGUAGUGACGAGAAAUAAUAAAGCGGGACUUCUGUUUCGCUAUUAUAAUGAGGAAUAACCAAAGGUCAUUCCGAUUAGCAACUGAUGGGAAAGUCUGGUGCCAGCAGCCGCGGUAAUACCAGCGUCAGUA
rnacentral:rRNA from 1 species